rnacentral:rRNA from 1 species
CUGAUGUAGCGGCGGACGGGUGAGUAACACGUGGGUAACCUGCCUGUAAGACUGGGAUAACUCCGGGAAACCGGGGCUAAUACCGGAUGCUUGAUUGAACCGCAUGGUUCAAUUAUAAAAGGUGGCUUUUAGCUACCACUUACAGAUGGACCCGCGGCGCAUUAGCUAGUUGGUGAGGUAACGGCUCACCAAGGCAACGAUGCGUAGCCAACCUGAGAGGGUGAUCGGCCACACUGGGACUGAAACACGGCCCAAACUCCUACGGGAGGCAGCAGUGGU